CACUCCAUCUCUUUUUUGCUAAUAUUCUCGAUCUAUAUGAAGUCGUUCUUGCUUAGCUCGCUCCCAAUUCUAUUCAUAUUCUAGCUUGUUUUGUCGUCCUUUGUCAUCUUCUUCGGAUUGAGCCCCAAAUUUCUUUAUUUUGGACCACUUUUGUAUUGCAGAAAUAUUUUUGGAAAUGGGGACGGUGGUUCUUCUGUCCUCGACUCCAUCAACAACUUUUCAAAAAGCUUUCUUCUUCCAUCCACGAGUGGAAAGGCAAAUUUUUUUACAUUACCGCCGACCACCAGUAGAAUUUUGACUGGACCUGCACGACUCCCAAUCUCUCUUUGAAUAAAAAUGAAACAGUCCUAGAGAAAGAUUGGGAGACGUACAGCUGUUCGAAGUCUAGAUCCCCACACAUCAGGAGCUGCUCAAGCAGUCCCUUUAUGACAUCGGGAUAAGCCCGACUAGUCAUCUCAGUAGUCUUCUUUCCUACAGAUUUUUUGUAGUUUCUGUUUUAUUCGUAGACUGAUUCUUCUUUGUCAUGUCCGUAUAGACAUAAGGGUUACAACGGGAUCUCUUAAGGAGGCGAUUUGGAAGAAGAAGAGCAAGACGGCAUCCGGGCUUGGUGGUCCCUCUCGACCACCAAAAAAGCC
rnacentral:lncRNA from 1 species